rnacentral:rRNA from 1 species
UACGUAGGGGGCUAGCGUUGUCCGGAAUCAUUGGGCGUAAAGCGCGUGUAGGCGGUCCGGUAAGUCCGCUGUGAAAGUCGGGGGCUCAACCCUCGAAUGCCGGUGGAUACUGUCAGACUAGAGUACGGAAGAGGCGAGUGGAAUUCCUGGUGUAGCGGUGAAAUGCGCAGAUAUCAGGAGGAACACCGGUGGCGAAGGCGGGUCUCUGGGCCGAUACUGACGCUGGAGGAGCGAAAGCGUGGGGAGCGAACAGG